ensembl:lncRNA
UGAGGUAUGACCAAAAAUGACACAGUACAAUGGCUUCACAAAAAUUCGGACAUUUUUGAAAUAUAUAACAAGAAAAACCUUUUUGUUAGACAAACUGAAGAGGACCUGAAAAGUAAAGCAACAGCAAACAGAGAGAUGGAGAACACAAGUCUUCUUCCACUUCAAACCUCAAGAAACACUAAAGUGAGAUAAACUGGACAAACAUUUACCUUAGCAAAACUCUCAUCAUUGCGAGGAAGCGAUUCUUCAACAGCAGGAAGGUUUGCGUGACAUGAAAGAGCGAAUCAGAGCUCUAGAACAGAAGUGGCCUAGCAAGCAUCUGUCCCAGCAGGGGGAGCCAGAGAAACAGGGUCAGAUGAAGACUCAGAGACUUCAGAGAUCUGCAGCUUGGAGAGGAUCCAACAGUUCUGUGAGUGGUUUUGCGUUCCCUGAUGCUCUGACCGAGGCAGCAGGAGAGCGUACAGCCAGACUGGACAUGUCUGUUGCUCUGGAGCUCAGUGAGAGAACAUUUAGUACCUGGAGCUAGUGCGUGUGCUGCAUGAGGCCCUGGAGCUCAGCAACGUUGAGCUGUCAGGAUGUGCUAGUUUAAAGCACCUACCUCCUGAUGAGAGACAGCACAUAGUCUCUAUGAGACAAACAGACCUGGAGUUUGUGAGAACCCGCCUUGAUCUACAGAACAGACAAAGC